UACAGAGACUGCAAGCGUUGCUCGGAUUGACUGGGCGUAAAGGGCGCGUAGGCGGUUCGUACAGUCAGACGUGAAAUUCCUGGGCUCAACCUGGGGGCUGCGUUUGAUACGUGCGGACUUGAGUGCGGAAGAGGGUCGUGGAAUUCCCAGUGUAGAGGUGAAAUUCGUAGAUAUUCGCAAGAACACCAGUGGCGAAGGCGGCUCACUGGCCCGAUACUGACGCUGAGGCACGAAAGCGUGGGGAGCAAACAGG
rnacentral:rRNA from 1 species